rnacentral:rRNA from 1 species
GACGAACGCUGGCGGCGCGCUUAACACAUGCAAGUCGAACGGAAAGGCCUGCUUUCCCUUGUGGAUUGCGGGUACUCGAGUGGCGAACGGGUGAGUAACACGUGAGUGAUCUGCCCCCAACUUGGGUAUAAGCCUGGGAAACUGGGUCUAAUUCCCGAUAGGACUGCAGGGUGGUGCCUGUGGUGGAAAACGAUUUUCUAGUGGUUGGGGAUGAGCUCGCGGCCUAUCAGCUUGUUGGUGGGGUAAUGGCCUACCAAGGCGGCGACGGGUAGCCGGCCUGGGAGGGUGGACGGCCACAGUGGGACUGAGAUACGGCCCAGACUCCUACGGGAGGCAGCAGUGGGGAAUAUUGCACGAUGGGCGGAAGCCUGAUGCAGCGACGCCGCGGGGGGGAUGACGGCCUUCGGGUUGUAAACUCCUUUCGACCGCGAGGAAGCCACCUGGUUGGAAGGGUGGUGACGGUAGUGGUAGAAGAAGCACCGGCUAACUACGUG